AACAACUUAAGAUCACUCCAAACCAGGUAACUUCACAAGUUGUUAGAAACCAUCCUUCAAAGAUCUGCCUCUUUCCUUCUGCGUGGCAGCUGGAGACUCCUGCUUGGUCCUAAUCAGUGCAGGAUCAACAACAGAAAUCCGCAAAUGUCAGUCAUUUUUCUGUUUUCACUACCCAGUUGUUUUCUCUUGAGUUUAACUGCCUGAAU
rnacentral:lncRNA from 1 species